rnacentral:rRNA from 1 species
GACGAACGCUGGCGGCGUGCUUAACACAUGCAAGUCGAACGGAAAGGCCCUGCUCUUGUGGGGUGCUCGAGUGGCGAACGGGUGAGUAACACGUGAGUAACCUGCCCUUGACUUUGGGAUAACUUCAGGAAACUGGGGCUAAUACCGGAUAUGAGCUCCUGCUGCACGGUGGGGGUUGGAAAGUUUCGGCGGUUGGGGAUGGACUCGCGGCUUAUCAGCUUGUUGGUGGGGUAGUGGCUUACCAAGGCUUUGACGGGUAGCCGGCCUGGGAGGGUGACCGGCCACAUUGGGACUGAGAUACGGCCCAGACGCCUACGGGAGGCAGCGGUGGAGAAUAUUGCGCAAUGGGCGGAAGCCUGGUGCAGCGACGCCGCGUGCGGGAUGACGGCCGUCGGGUUGUAAACCGCUUUCGCCUGUGACGAAGCGUGAGUGACGGUAAUGAGUAAGGAAGCACCGGCUAACUACGUG